CAGUCGCCGCGGGAAUACGAAGGGGGCUAGCGUUGUUCGGAAUUACUGGGCGUAAAGCGCACGUAGGCGGACAUUUAAGUCAGGGGUGAAAUCCCGGGGCUCAACCCCGGAACUGCCUUUGAUACUGGGUGUCUAGAGUAUGGAAGAGGUGAGUGGAAUUCCGAGUGUAGAGGUGAAAUUCGUAGAUAUUCGGAGGAACACCAGUGGCGAAGGCGGCUCACUGGUCCAUUACUGACGCUGAGGUGCGAAAGCGUGGGGAGCAAACAGGAUUAGAUACCCGAGUAGUCCCUGUCUCUUAUAC
rnacentral:rRNA from 1 species